CUCUUACAUAGAGAUAUAAAAAUACACACUUAAGAUGGAGUACAUGCUAAUAACUCUCCUAUAAUUUGAACACUACAUUAGAUAAUAUUAAGGAUGGUUUGCAUGUUUGGAACUCCUAUUCCUGAUUAACAAUGCUUGCAGUAUGUUUCAUCCCCUCCAUUAGUGCUGUGUAAUUGACCAUGUGAUGGUUUUUUGGGAAUAAGUUUAGUUCUGAGGCUAUAUCUGUGGCUAUUGAGUUGGGUUGUCUGCUGAGCAUCACAUUUACUGCUCUGGACUUUGAUAUUACCAUUUCUCACACAUGGUUAUAAUCUGAUCUUGAAAGUCUCUCCUGUUUCUAAAAAUGUUGGUUUUAAUGCUGUGUUUUUUAAUAUGUCAGUAUAAAACUACUACCGGGAUUCCAAACAUAGGGAUGAUAACUUCAGUUGGUAAACUGCUGUGCUGACAUAAGGACCUGAGUUGAUUAUUAGGACUCAUG
rnacentral:lncRNA from 1 species